CCAACUUGAAAACACUCCCCUGACGGGAGA
rnacentral:sRNA from 1 species